AGAGAUACCGAAGUAUAUAAUAGGUGACCAACCAAAAAAAAAAAAAAAGAGACAAUACCAAGCAUCCGGGCUGUAACGAAAGACAACUCAAAGAGGGAUAAAUUGCAAGCAUCCGUCAAUUAUCCAAGAAACAAAGAGUAUUCGAUUCCGCAAAGGAAUAUAACGAAUCUUACUCGACUAGGGAAACACAAAAGGCUUCGACUGAAGAGUGCAUGAGAUAUAUUAUCCAUUACCGUCAAAACGUGGAUAAC
rnacentral:lncRNA from 1 species